rnacentral:rRNA from 1 species
AACGAACGCUGGCGGCAGGCCUAAUACAUGCAAGUCGAACGGUGUAGCAAUACACAGUGGCGCACGGGUGCGUAACACGUAUGCAACCUACCUUACAUUGGGGGAUAGCCUUUCGAAAGGGAGAUUAAUACCGCAUAAGACAGUAACUAGGCAUCUAGUAGCUGUUAAAGAUUUAUCGAUGUAAGCUGUGCAUGCGUCCAAUUAGUUAGUUGGCGAGGUAAUGGCUCACCAAGACGAUGAUUGGUAGGGGAACUGAGAGGUCAAUCCCCCACACUGGCACUGAGAUACGGGCCAGACUCCUACGGGAGGCAGCAGUAGGGAAUAUUGGGCAAUGGGCGCAAGCCUGACCCAGCCAUGCCGCGUGCAGGAAGAAGGCGUUAUGCGUUGUAAACUGCUUUUAUACAGGAAGAAACGACCCUUGCGAGGGGCAUUGACGGUACUGUAUGAAUAAGCACCGGCUAACUCCGUGCCAGCAGCCGCAGUAAAAC